rnacentral:rRNA from 1 species
AUGUUGCCAAUGGAGUUAAAUGGUCCUCCAUUUGGUCAACCAACACCUUCAACACAAGUGCCCACACAAGAUGAUUUUGAUGAUAUAGACAAGCUCACAUUGCUUAGUCUCGACUUCACUUGGAGUGCCGAAGAUGAUCCAAUUAGGCCGAUGAUACUACAGGAAAUGAAGAAGAUCAAGAGUGGAAAAGGGCUAGUGGAAGAAGUAAGGAAGAUUGAGAAGAACAUCAACACUGGCUGCACUAUCUCAUCCCUCCUUGAGCUGAGUGUUUCUGGGAUAUCCUUUGAUACAUGUGAGGUCCCAACACCUUCACAUUCAGCCGAGCAAGAUAGCGAGAGUCCAGAGGAAAAGAUACUUCAGAUCCAACAAGAAAUUCUCAAAGCCAAGGCACAAGAUGAUCCAGAGCUCAACUACCCAAGUGAUCAAGUCGAAGACCUCAAAGAUCUAAUGUAUAUCCUUCCUGAAGAAGUAAAAGAAGCUCCUGUAGUUGAAGAUGAAGAACUAGAAAUGCAAUUGCCUAUCAUCAUACAAGAGCGUGACGUAGCAGGUUUAUCUAAGCCUCUUGAUGACAUGCGUCCAUAUGAUCUGUUUGCUACUACUUUGCAUUGCAUGAUACCAUCAAUUCAGCUAGACUUGAAAAAAUGUUUGCUUGGACAUGAUCAUACAUACCCUGUUAUUGGCAUUUCUUUCAUUUAUGAUGACACUUAUUCUCCUUAUGCUAGUCCUACGCUUAAUGAAACAUAUCAUUCCCAUGCUAGUCUUGAGUUUAAUGAUAAAUUUCAUCCUCAUGGUAGUAUUGAGCUUGCUGAGUUCUACAAUCUUAAACAUGUGCUUUAUAGCUAUGCUUAUGUAAUUGGAUACUCGAUUGAUGACUUGGAGGGUAUUAUGCCUACCGCUUGCAUUGUCUCUUUUGUGGAGUGUUCUUUUAGGUUUUUGCUACUGCAUCGUUUACUACAUGCUGACCAGGUUCGAGGUGACAUUCCUUGGGACCCUGGUGGAUUCACGGCAUGGUGA